CCGCCCCGCGCGCCCGCUCUCGGCAACGGGGGCCUCGCGCCUGCGGCAACUUCCGGGUCGCGAGCUGCCUGACGACCGCCUGACUCCGCCAUCCUAGAGGGAGUGACGAGGCCGCCGGUCGCCCUCUUCGCCUUAACGCCAUCUCCUUCAUCGCCGUCUUUAAAAUCCUCGACGGGUAGAGGGGAGGGGCACAGACAGGCUCUCGAGUUAGGCAAAUUCUUGGGCAGGCCCGACCGCGGCUAGGACCCUAAAGCUCAGAGCCACUUACGGAAACAGCCACCAGGCGGCGCCUGGAGCCAAAACCAGAGAUGCUUUUUUAGGGACUUGGGAGGCAAAGGGUUCCCAAGGGCUCUACUACGUAGAUGGAGGUGGGUCUCUAACUUAAACAGGUGAAUGGCAUGAACCAUCCCGUUUAUAGGUCGGGAAACCUAGACAUUUAGAGUUUGAGUCAUCAUCCGGAAGAAAAAGAGCCCAGCUUCUCGUCUGACUGCUUAGAGCUUUUGAAGAACUAAAAUGAAAACGAAGAUGCUAAUAUUUCACGCUGGAGCCAGCAAAACUGUAUUUUCCCAAUCGGUGGGAGGACUUUCCGCUUGUGUAGGUUUGCUCAGUACGGUAUUAUCUCGAUUUUACAGAUAAGAAAAGAGCUGUCAGUUUCCUUAAAAGAAAAAAAGUAACGACCAGCCUGCUUUGUUUAGACUGUCACCCCCAGGUCCUCUGCAGUACAGCUGCCUCAUAUUUCUCAGAAUAUAAAUUUUUUAAAAGGUUGUUUUUCCCAAUCCAGUAACUUGCUAACCAACUCUCAACUGAGCAAGUGGAACAUGUGCCUGCAGAAAAUUAAUUAGACACAGAUUCUUCCUCCCAACAAAACUCAAAAAUUUUCAGAAUGGAAUGCUGUAAUGUCUUCCCAGAAGUUCAGAGAUCUUCUGAAGCUCCUAAAUAAGAGGCAUUUGCAUGGCUCCUGUAGGUCCACCAUCUAUUUUAAAACUAAAACUUCAAAACUGUCUCUUGUCCAAAGGAUGAAGUCAUUUUCUUUUUUUAUGCUGUUGGGUCACAUCUAAAUUAUUUGUAAUCAACUAUAUUGAGCAACUAGAGUUUCCAUCAGUAGCAAUAACACCAAACAAAGCACCAACAUUUUAGAAAUCAGAGUUCAAUGAUAUAAUGAUUUUUUUUAAAGAGUUGAUAUCAUUGCUAACUGGUUUCCUUUCAAGACACUGGCAUGUCUAUGUUGCUUACUUUUGUCUACUUAAUUGAAAAUAGUAUCUGUUAAUGAU